rnacentral:rRNA from 1 species
AUUGAACGCUGGCGGCAGGCCUAACACAUGCAAGUCGAGCGAGCGGCGGACAGGUGAGUAAUGUCUGGGAAACUCCCUGAUGGAGGGGGAUAACACCUGGAAACGGGCGCUAAUACCGCAUACCAUCUGAUCUGCCCAGAUGGGAUUAGCUGGUAGGUGGGGUAACGGAUCACCUCGGCGACGAUCCCUAGCGGGUAUGAGAGGUUUAGGAGCCACACUGGAACGGAGACACGGGCCAGACUCCUACGGGAGGCAGCAGUGGGGAAUAUUGAACAAUGGGCGCAAGCCUGUUGCAGCCAUGCCGCGUGUGUGAAGAAGGCCUUCGGGUUGUAAAGCACUUUCAGCGGGGAGGCGUUACCCGCAGAAGAAGCACCGGCUAACUCCGUGCCAGCAGCCGCGGUAAUUC